UACGAAGGGGGCUAGCGUUGCUCGGAUUUACUGGGCGUAAAGGGCGCGUAGGCGGUUUGUACAGUCAGGCGUGAAAUUCCUGGGCUCAACCUGGGGGCUGCGUUUGAUACGUGCAGACUUGAGUUCGGAAGAGGGUCGUGGAAUUCCCAGUGUAGAGGUGAAAUUCGUAGAUAUUGGGAAGAACACCGGUGGCGAAGGCGGCGACCUGGUCCGAUACUGACGCUGAGGCGCGAAAGCGUGGGGAGCAAACAGG
rnacentral:rRNA from 1 species